rnacentral:misc_RNA from 1 species
GAGAAAACAAAUUUUAUUUGUGAGUAACAACUAUUGUUUAAGUGUAAAAUAAUUAUUUUAUAGAAUAACAAUUGUAUAAACUUGAUAUUUUAUUAAAAUUUUGAAUGAAAUUGUUUUUUUAAAUAAAUGUAAAAUUUUUAUUUUAUAAAAUAUGAUUCUUCAAAUUUAUGAUAGACAUGGUCAUUAAAAGGGUUGUAUUGAGUCUGUUCAGAUUGAAUUUCUAAAAAAGAAAAUCUUAUUAUAAUCUCUCUAAUUUAAUAAUAAUUUAAAUUUAUCCUUUUUUCCAUUUCCUUCAUUAAAACAAAAUAAAAACAUUUCCUUUCCCUUUUUAAUUAAUAAAUUUUGAAGUCAUCCUGCACAAAAAGUAAAUAUUUUCCUUCUCCUUUUCAAAAACUUAUUUCAUAUAACU